GAUGAACGCUAGCUACAGGCUUAACACAUGCAAGUCGAGGGGCAGCAUGAAAGUUUGCUUGCAAACUUUUGAUGGCGACCGGCGCACGGGUGAGUAACACGUAUCCAACCUGCCUCAUACUCGGGGAUAGCCUUUCGAAAGAAAGAUUAAUACCCGAUGUUAUAGUCCUACCGCAUGAUGGGAUUAUUAAAGAAUUUCGGUAUGGGAUGGGGAUGCGUUCCAUUAGCUUGUUGGCGGGGUAACGGCCCACCAAGGCAUCGAUGGAUAGGGGUUCUGAGAGGAAGGUCCCCCACAUUGGAACUGAGACACGGUCCAA
rnacentral:rRNA from 1 species